UCAAGAGGAAUUGAUGUUGUGCCUUAUUGGAAAGCCAUGCUCUCAAACUUUGUAACACGUAAUGUGGCUUUGGGAGGAGAGCUCAUCUGCACAGACUUCACACUGGGUCUGCCUCAGCAACGCGUAUGAUUCUUAUAAGACAUCUGCUUAUAAGACAGUCUGCUUGUGACGCUGCAAUUAUCUGUAAACACAGAGGUGGACAUAAAAGUGCCACUUUUGAAUCUAACAGGAUGUGGCCCACGCUACAGAGGGAGUUAAUGACGUCGGCAUCUAAAUGAAAAACUCAGGAAUAUCCUACUUUUUUCUGCUUCACCAAGUUGCAGGCUCUUUGUACAGAACGCUUUUCAAACGCCUUUGGCCAUUAAGGAGGGAGGAUUUUUUGCAUAAGGAAGAACACCUGCACCAGUCACAGAGGCAUCCUUCUGUCAGAUACAUCCACCUGCACCAGUCACAGGAGGUGUCCUUUUCUGAGAGACAUCCACCUGCACCAGUCACAGAGGCAUCCUUCUGUCAGAGACAUCCACCUGCACCAGAAGGGGUGACAACAGAGGAGCAACUCCAGAGCUGUCUGACAGGCUCUUUGUACAGAACGCUUUUCAAACGCCUUUGGCCAUUAAGGAGGGAGGAUUUUUUGCAUAAGGAAGAACACCUGCACCAGUCACAGAGGCAUCCUUCUGUCAGAUACAUCCACCUGCUCCAGUCACAGAAGCGUCCUUCUGUCAGAGACAUCCACCUGCACCAGUCAAAGAGGCAUCCUUCUCUCAGAGACAUCCACCUGCACCAGAAGGGGUGACAACAGAGGAGCAACUCCAGAGCUGUCUGACAGGCCCUUUGUACAGAACACUUUUGAAACGCCUUUGGUCAUUAGAGAGGGGGGAUUUUUUGCAUAAAGAAAAACACCUUCACCAGUCACAGAGGAGUCCUUCUCUCAGAGACAUCCACCUGCACCAGUCACAGAGGCGUCCUUCUCUCAGAGACAUCCAGCUGCACCAGUCACAGAGGCGUCCUUCUCUCAGAGACAUCCACCUGCUCCAGUCACAGAGGUAUCCUAACACAUUAUGGACAUUAAUAAAAACACAAAAUGUAAUGUACA
rnacentral:lncRNA from 1 species